rnacentral:rRNA from 1 species
UGGGGAAUAUUGGACAAUGGGGGCAACCCUGAUCCAGCGACGCCGCGUGGGUGAAGAAGGCCUGCGGGUUGUAAAGCCCUUUCGGUAGGGACGAAAACUCUCGACCUAACACGUCGGGAGCUUGACUUAACCUACAAAAGAAGCACCGGCUAACUCUGUGC